rnacentral:lncRNA from 1 species
CUUCCACGAUGCCGGCGCGCACUGUCGCCGCGCUGCGGCUGUUGGCGUCCAGGUGGCUCAGGAGCUGCUGGAUAACCAGACCGGCAGAGGCAGAGCGAGGACACCUUCUGCAGCCCUGCAUUCCGCAGAGUUCAAGUCAGCCGAGCUGGAGAAGAAAACUGACUGGGACCCCUGCCAGAGAGGACAGGCCAAAGGGGGACAGGUCUUCCAUGGAGGGACGCCUGGACAUGGUCAAGUCACCAAACACGAUGCUUAAGCCACGUCUAGUGCUUCAUGGUUACAAGAAGCGCUCACUACAGCAAUGGGCACGGUGCCCCACAUUUGUGUUCCAGUAGCUGUGAGGUGCGGGCAAGAGGUUCGAGAGUUCGAGGCUACCCUCAGCCACUUCACAGGUUUGAAGGCAGCCAGGGUGACUGGAGACUCUGUCUC